AAUGGGUGAAUGGUUUAAACCGCUAAAUUGUAAAUUUAGUUCUUAAUUGAGUUAUUGGUUCGAAUCCAAUUUCU
rnacentral:tRNA from 1 species